rnacentral:ncRNA from 1 species
UUCUUCGGGGCAGGGUGGAAGUCCCUACCGACGGUAUAGUCCGUGACCCGCUUAGGCGGUGGAUUUGGUUUGAUUCCAAAACCGACAGUAUAGUCUGGAUGAGAGAAGAA